rnacentral:rRNA from 1 species
UACAGAGGUCCCAAGCGUUGUUCGGAUUCACUGGGCGUAAAGGGUGCGUAGGCGGUCGGGUAAGUCUGAUGUGAAAUCUCACAGCUUAACUGUGAAACUGCAUUGGAUACUAUCCGGCUCGAGGAAUGGAGGGGAGACUGGAAUACUUGGUGUAGCAGUGAAAUGCGUAGAUAUCAAGUGGAACACCAGUGGCGAAGGCGAGUCUCUGGACAUUUCCCGACGCUGAGGCACGAAAGCCAGGGGAGCAAACGGG